GAUGAACGCUGGCGGCGUGCCUAAUACAUGCAAGUCGAGCGAACCGAUGAGGAGCUUUCUCCUCUGACUUUAUCGGCGGACGGGUGAGUAACACGUGGAUAACCUACCUAUCAGACUGGGAUAACUUCGGGAAACCGUAGCUACUACCGGAUAAUAUAUUGCACUGCAUUGUUCACUAGUUAAAGUCGGUUUUUCUUUCACUUAUAGCUUGAUCCGCGUCGCAUUAGUUAGUUGGUAAGGUAACGGCUUACCAAGGCAACGAUGCGUAACCGACCUGAGAGGGUAAUCAGCAAGACGGGAAGAGAGAAACAGUCCAGACACAGAGGGGAAGACGCAGUAGGGAAUCCUCCGGAAGGGGGGAGAGGGUGACGGUGCAAAGUCGCGUGAGGGAUGAAGGAGUACGGAUCGUAGAACGCUGUUAGUAGGGAAGAACAAAUGUGUAAGUAACUAGGAACGUAUUGACGGUACCUAAACAGAAAGCCACGGCUAACUACGUG
rnacentral:rRNA from 1 species